rnacentral:lncRNA from 1 species
GGCACAGGGGCCGCGCUCAGGGACCCCCAGCACCAUGAAGUGCAGCCAUGGAUGCGUCCCUGGCUCGUUCUCUGUGGGCUCCUCAAAGAGGAAGUAGCUGGAUUCCAUGUUAUUUGGUGGAAGGGAGUUGGUGUUCAACACUUCCCUUGGCCAGAGUAAUGUGUCAGCCGGCAUCGCGCAUGCCUAGACGCCCACACGCUUCACUCUGCUUGUGCCAAUCCUCUAAGAAGUAAAACCUGGAGAGCAAAAGCUUCUUUAACAGCUGUGGAGGGCACGGGAGCCCCCUAAGGACUAACCCAACACAGAGCGUGCGUGAGGGCCUCCCACACUCUCCCCAUAGUCCAGAGUCACUCACCAAUGGAAACCUAAUGCGAGAGGCGCAUGCAUAAAAAUGUAAGAAAAAGCAGAUGAGUGCUGGGAAUGGAACAAGGGAAGAGCUCACCAUGGAGCCUGGAAGCUGUGCGUCUCUGGGACUGCAGCUCAUCCUAGCUGGGACUCCUCUUGCCCAGACACUGCAUCUGGCCUAUGACUGGAAGCCACAAGGAUCAGCAACCAACCAGCUCAUCCAUCACUCCUGGGGGCAGGCGCUUCCUACACACCCCCUCCAGAUCCUCACUGAGCCCAGGCCUGAGAGCCAGCAUCUCACAGGGGAAACUGAGGCACUGCACUGUGAGGAAGGCCACUCUGUUAGAGGAGGGGCAUCAGCACUGUGUCCUGGGGUGAGAAAGCUAGGAUCGUUGUUGGGAAAAAAAAAACCCAAUCAAGCAAAGGACCAGGAUGUAUUUAUUCACUGUUGUUACACUUGUUAAAAUGUAGCUAGCUCACUUAAAAACAAACAAACCUGUUUGGUUCUCCAGUCCUUAUUUAUACAGGGGGACAGGGCAACAUAGAUACAAUAAAGCAGACAUUUUGUUGAGUCUUAAGAGGUCAAACAUUUGAAAAUGUGUAUUUCAUAAUUGGGGUCUCUAUGCCAUAAUUCACUGGUUCUCUUGCUUUGCCAACUUGAGGGUGCUGUAGACUCUGUGAACUCAACCUUUAAGCAAUUAUGGGGCUUGGUUAGAAGAUGCUGUGGGGGUGGUGCUGCCUGGACAAGGAAAUAAAGCAGCUGGAGCAGUGUCUGUCCGACUGGGCUCAGUCCACGGCCCAGGGACCGGGGCUUGAAACCCUCGUUUGCCUCCCCUGCUCUGGAGCCUCCAUAGCCCUUUGUCAAAGGAGAAAGUCAGGCAAAGAGCUCAGGUAGCUCUGAGCCAGUUCACUCACUGAACAAGUAUUUAUUAUGCAUCUGCUGUAUGUCAGGCAUUGACACAGGGACAGAUGACUGUAAAGUUCAAGAAAUCAUUGUUUUAUGACCCAUGUGAGCCAUUCAAGAGUAA